CAGCUCCUCGCGGGAGAUGCGGAACCUGGCGGAGAAGAUGCGGCGCGACAAGCUCAACAAUUACGUAACGGAACUGGCGGGGAUCGUUCCGCUCGGUUCCGGCGCCAACAAGAGAGUGGACAAGACUUCCGUCCUCCGACUUGCCGCCAACUACAUUAGAAUGCACAAGUUACUAAGGGACGAGGAGGGCGAGGAUGACCGGCUGUCUGUGCUGAUGAAAGGUGACAUCUCAAACACCCUAGCAGAGGCUGUAGGAGGGUUCUUGUUAGUGGUAACUUCUUCAGGAAAAGUUGUGUACAUCACUGAGGCUGUGGAGCAGUUCUUUGGUCAUAGCCAGGUGGAUCUUCUGGGACACAGUGUCUAUAAUGUUAUACAUCCAGAUGACCAUGAAAUCUUUCAACAUCAGCUUCAAGCAAAAGAACAGUCUAGGAGAUCUUUUUUUUGCCGCAUGAUGGAGAAAGCAUUAUCAAGAAAUGAUCCAGGUCGUUAUGAGAUAAUUCAUAUUGUUGGCCAGAUGAAGCCAAUCCCCCAAUCUGAGGUCCCAGUGCCCUCUCCAAGCAUGUCUGCAUCAUCACCUGAGACUGCCAGUACCUCAAGUAAACAUGGUGAUGAUGAUGACAACGACGAAUCAGAUGGAGAUGUGCAGCCUCUAAAAGUUGCCAACAGAACUGGUACACAUAUGCUAGUCAGCUUUGUGCGGGUGGUAAAAGACCGUCCCAUCACAGAGCUCUCCCUGGUUGAUUCAACUCAAGAAGAGUACAUUACCAGGCAUGGCACAGAUGGGAAGAUACUCUAUACCGAUCACAGAAUAUCUUUUGUGACGGGUCUGAUGCCAUCUGAAGUUCUUGGUACUUCAGCAUUUAAUUACAUGCACCAAGAUGACAUGGUUUGGUCAGUGGUGGCACAGAAGCUCAUGCUUACGAGUAGCCUUGGUCAGGGAGUUGUCUCAUACAGACUAAGGUGCAAGGAUGGUACCUAUGUCACCUUAAGAACAAGGGGCUUCUUGGAAUUCAAUAAGCAAAAGGGACAAGUGGAUUCCUUUGUGUGUAUAAAUACAGUUUUAAGUGUAAAAGAAGCAGCUUCAGAGAUCAAGAACCAGAGAAGGAAACUCCUGCCAAUGAUAACUUGCCAAGAGUCAGAUGAACAUCUUAAUUCAGUUUCUUCUUCGUUUCCACCAGAGAUGUUGAUGAUACUCAAACAGGUGAUGAAUCCAGAUAUGAUUCAGAAAAUGAUUAAUUCUGUAGAACAACCAGAAAUUGAGGCUGAAGGCCCUGGCAAAAGUAUGCUACAGCAUAAUGAAGCUUCCACAUGCUCAAGUUCUGUGACCUCAAGAAAUGUACAAUCUGAAAGUGAAUCAGAUUUUAUGAGGCAAAGCUCAAGAAACAAGAGGACAAGGUUACAAAGUGAUUCCUCCAGUGGUUGCUUUAGUGAAAAUAUACAAAAAAAAAUUCAAAUUAAUAAAGAUGAAUUUAGCUUUGAGGAGGUUAAGAUAUGCAGUAUUACUAAAAAACAAAUGCCAGAUGAACCUUUUACAGAGGUCUCAACAAAAAGAUUUAGUUUUCAAAGAGAGCUUACGGGUUCAGAUCCCAUGCAAUCUGAUUAUAGCCCUAGUUCGGUUCAUGAAAGCAAUAUACAAAGCAAACUGACCAAGCCAGGUGUGCCUGUAUUUGCAUCAGGAACAGGAAUUAAUCAGGGAUUACCAAUUGACCGUAAUCCACAACAAGAUACUGCAAGCCUUCCAUAUCCAUUAAAUCCUCAGAAAAAAGAGUUUGCUGGUAUGGCAUCGGCUGGAAAGUUUUGUGACAAUAUAGUCAGUAAUCAUUAUUCUCCAUGGAUGCAGCAGAGUAAUAGAAGUCCAAAUUUACUCUCCCCGGAAUGCUAUCCUCAAAGUGAUGGUAUUAAUCAAUCAGCAAAGAGUCCAAAUGCAGGAAGUAAUAUACCAUCCUCAAGAUAUGUAGACCAAAAAUUUAUACCUUCUCCAGGACAAUUUGACCAGAGCAGGAGUGGAAACAUUCCCUCUCCAGGAAGCUGUGAUAUGCCUGUUCCUUUCCAAAGGGCAGGAAUGAACCAGUCUCCUAAUCCCUGUGACCAAAGAAGUCAGAAUUUACCUGCAGGUUCUUAUGAAGAACAAUGGACAAGUUCACGAUCUCCAAACCAAUGUAAUCCUUGUGUUGGAAGUUUGGCAUCUCUUAGUCAGUAUGACCAAAGAGGUGGAAGUUUGUCUUCUCCUGGUCAUUAUGAUGAGAGAGCUGGACACGUGACAUCUCAAAGUGUGUAUGACCAAAGAGAUGGAGGCAUUGCUGUUACCAGCCAAGGAGAACAGAGAGGUCAGAAUUUGAUUCCUGACCAGUAUGGCCAACGAAGUGGAAACCUGUCGUCUAAUGAAUAUUUAAAAUCUUCAAGCAUGUAUCAUCCAAAAAGUUCAAAUAUGCAUUCCCCAGAAAGCCAGAAUAUGAAUAUUUUAAAUUACAGAAAUCAACAGCUUAAGAGUGAAGCCAAUGUCACAUCUGGAGAACAGCUAUUUGAAUCACAAAUCCAAAUGUGUCCGCAGUACAUUCAGACUCCCACCACAAGUACUCCCUUACAACACCAACAACAUCAUCACCAACAGCAGCAGCAGCAGCAACAGCAGCAGCAGCAGCAGCAGCAACAACAACAACAACAACAACCUCAGCAAUUUGGACAAAAACAGCACUACCAGCUGGUAAAACAGUUUUCAAAACCAGUUCAGGGCAAGUCCACUUCUGACAUGGGGCAUUCCAGCUACCUCUCUUCAAUGUCAGAAUUCGCUAUACAAACGACAGUCUUGCAGCAGCACCAACCAAGAAUAGAUCAGCAGGCUGCUCUCCCCAGCAUGAGUCUUUCUCAGCCAUUUAAUUUUGUAGGAGAAGGAAAUAAUGAAUCCUACAAAAGCUCACAGGCACUUGCCGGACAGGGGAGUGAUAUGGCAAUGCCCUUCAACGUAAAAUAUAAACCAAACACUAAUCCUAAUUUCGAUCCAUCUGUAUCCCUUUUGGGUUCAGACACCUUUGUACCUGUAACACUCAGUAAGAGGAACCAAUCAGAAAGGCAACAUAAACACUCUACCACCCAUUGAUUGUAGAGCCAAAUGGUUAAGAUGUGGACAACUGCUUCAGGAUAGGCUGAUGCCUGUUAGCUCCAUAGAGAGGAAGUCUGAACCUCCUUAAUGCCAACUUGUUGCACUACCUACAAGAGUGCAAGUAUACUCACUUAAUUAGACAUGCAUCACAGAUAGGUGAAAAGAUUAUGCCUCUUAUUUAAUCCAUAGAAGCUGGAGCACCACCAUCAUAAAUUUUCAGUUAUGUGAUGGUCAGGUGGGACCACUCCAAAUACCUGAAACAGGGAAAGCUUCUGUGAUAUAUGGAUAAUCUGCAUCCUGAACCUCCUCUGUGAUAACACUACAAAAUCCUGUAUGCUGGGCAAAGAAUCUGUUUUGAUGAAAAGUGGGUAUGAUGCCCUCAAAAACAGGUCAACUAAGAACAAGAGCAGAGAAGAUAGUUCUAUGAAUAUUUGCUAAAUUCAAAUUAUAGGUAAAAAUGUUCAUGGUAUAUUUUCAUAAAAAGAGAAAAUUCAGAUUCUUAUUAUAAGAGGGUCAGUAAUGAGUGAAUGUUUAUUAUGAGUGAAAGGCCUGUAGUGUAUCUAUUAUAGAAUUACAGACAAGCUUGGGUUUGUCAUAUGGUGUUCACAAGUUCACCUCAACAUUCCACUCUUUCAUAAUGUCAUGAUGUAUGCAGUCAUAUGAUUAUAUGAUUAUGAGAAACCCCCCAUUUUUUCAUAAUCUUACUGUUGCUAGAGUAAUGUUGAUUUUCUUUUGAGCUUCAGAAUGGAUUAAUAAUCUUACUUCUAGCACAGGCUGAUUACAAUAUGAAUAUGUACAGUAACACUUCUUUUUCUCUGUUUGUUUGUUUCUAUUUUGUUGUUGUUUUUUGAUUGAUUGAUAUUAAUAUAUAUUUCAGGGCUUAUUCAUGAAGAAUCCAUUACAAUCAAUGGAGUCAUCAUAUGCAGUUAUUUAAUAUUAUCACCUUUACGAUACAAAGUUCGAUACAUUACCUCCAAAGUAUAAACAGUUUUCAAGUUCCUUUUAGAUAAUCAAAUAUGGACCUUCCCUUUAGGUCUGGUAGCAAAAUGAGAAUUACAGAAUCGAACAUUUUGAUUAAAUAAGAUGUCAGUCACUUUGGUGUUGCCAAGAUUUUAAAAGAAGAUUGGAAUUAAACUGUUGUAAAAGAACAUAUUUGUUUGUGAUAUAAAGCUCAUAAAUUAAGGACAAAGAGUAUAUUUUAUGCAGAUAUAUAAAAUAUGUUUAAUAAAAUAUAGUUAGAAUGUAUGUAAUGAAAUAUAUAUUUAACUGGUAAAUGGAAUGAACCAUUUCUGGUAAUUUAUGAGUGUAGAAUAAAUGUUUUAUGCUCAAAUAAGUCGAACUGAAAUUACUUUGUCAGAGAUAGUAUAAAGAGUAUUAAAUUUCCCCCAAAGCAUAUAUGUAUGAUUCACUGAAUUAGGUCAAAAUAUCUGUUGAGCUUACUGAUAGGUCAAAGCUAACAUGAGCUAGGAACCAAUGUCAGUGUAAUUGAAAUAUUUUUGCACACUCAUUAUAUUUAAACUUUUAGUAUUAUUAAAUCUUCAGGAUGCUCCUUCAUGCUUCAUGUUUAAUCCAGAAUUUGCUCAAUAAGCCAAUCUUAAAGAAUGUCCUGGUUAAGUAAGGGAAUUGUUGUUGACUCCCACAUUUGUUGCCGUAAGAUUUACAGUUUGCCAAAAUAUUAUACUUAUUCAAAAGAAAGAAAUUACAGAAGGAUUCAUGCACAAAUAAAUACUAGUUGAAUAUUUAAACAUCACACAUGACACUGAUAUAUAUCUUAUUAUUUGUUGUAAUAUUGUUUUUUUAUUCAUUCAAUCAGGAAAAAAAAGAGAAAUGAAUUAAAUUGUUAGCAAAUUAUACUUACCUGAUGUUAGGAAAUAUCCCAAUUCUCCCCUAUAGUACAAAUAGUGUGAAUGUUUCUGUGGAUGAAAUAUUAAAUUUCCAAAGAGUGAAUGAAUCAAACAUACAUACAAAGACAGAUACUUUAACAGACAUGUGCAAACACUAAUAGCUUCCUGCAGACAUACACACACAACCAGCACAUUCACACAUGCUCUCAUGUAUAUAUGCAUAGACAAUUAAUUUUUGAGUGAUUAUGAAUUAUUUACUCUUUAAGAAUUUGAUUAUAUAAAAUAUAUGUGCAACUGUGUACAGUGUAUUUUUUAUUGAUUGUCGGUAUCUUAUUGCAGACCAUGUUAAGAAUAACAAACAUAUAUGUUUAUAAGAUUUAUAUUGUAUAAAUUUGAUUUUCUUGUAUAUAGCACUCAAAGGGUGGCAUCCAUGAAGAAAUGUUGUAAACUAUACUCAUCAUAACUUGCGAGUUUCACCACUUCAUAAUUUUAACUGGUAUCCAUGAAGCCUGAAUACAUGAGGAUAUGGGAUCAGGUUGAUGUAAUGUCACCUAGGAUGUAAAGUAAUAACACCAACACUCAAAAUCUACAAAUCAUAGGGCUGGUAGCCACUGCCAGCUAGGAAAGGUCUUGCAUUAUUAAUGCAGAGAUUAAUAAAGUUUGGAAAAUGACCAUAGUCUUUCAUUUUUCUAUACACAGAAUACAGAUCAUUCACACAGGUAAUUGCAGAUAGUUCCCAAUGCAUUAUAAUUUACAAAUUAAAGUAUUCAUAGUAUUGUAAAAAGACAAAUAAAGAACAAAAUUCUUUAUAUGACAUAUUGUAAUAUUCAUAUUUGGACAAUGAAAAAUCUCCAAAUAUAUCUGAAAGAGAUAGUAGAUUAAAUAUUUAUUUAUAAUAUGAACAAUUAGAUUUUGAGAAAGCAGUAUGAAAUAAAAUACUGUUUUACAAAGUACCCUGUUCCUUCCUGAUGAUCCUCCAGUCCCAGCACUGAAAAGUCAGUCACUUAUUUGAAUUGGCUAAUAAUGUCAAAAGAUUAGUAUUGAUAUUUAUAUGAUUUUAAUUACCAUAUAAAACUGUACAUAAUGCACAGAUUGUUGGGUUACAAAAAAAAAAAAAAAAAAAAAAAAAAAUUGACAGUAUUUACAUUUAAAGUAACUGAUUGCUGUUGAAAAUAUAUACAAAUGUACAUGGUGUAUCAAAUAAUUAUAACUUUUUGACAAUGAAAAUCCUGUAGUAAAAAAAUAUUUAUAUUGCAAUGAGGGCAGUGUUUUUGUUUAUGGUAAAAGGACAAUAAAUGGUAAAUUUGAAAAAAUAAUAGUAAGAUACUGGUUUUAUGUCACUCAGUAUCUGAGAUUAGACAUUUGGUAAGUGGCUGUAUAUUUUGGGAAAAUCACAUAUUACCUGAUUGAUUAGCUUAGCUUAUUUAUCUUGGUUUAGGUUAACCUACUCUAACCUAAAUUUAAUCACCAUGCAGUGUGUGCAAUUUCAAGCUGACUUGUAAAAGUAUCGUCAAUCAGACAAUAAGUGAAUUAAUUGAAAUUGUUGAAUGGGUAUACCAGUCACUGAUUAAGCUAUUUGACUCAAUUAUGAUACUUGUUCACUGUAGCUAGAUAUGGACAUACUUUGCAUAUAUGCUGAUAUUGGUGUUGUUGUUCCAAUUUUACUGUAUUUGGAGUAAGCCAGUUUAAAGUACAGUGGUGUGUUAUGGAAUAUUGUUAUCUUAUCUCUGAUUUAACCUGCAUUUAGUCUCAUUUACUGCUGGGUUAGAGAGUUUGCAAUGCAUGAACUGCAGAUCAAGCCUCCCAACUCUUCAUGUCAAAGGCUUCAUGGAUUGAGGUAGAUAGGUUUUGUGGAACUGAUGCUUCUGGAUGCUGCCCAAGAUGUGCUUUUGCAGCUAAAACUUUCUUUGUGAAUUGAUGUAGUGACAAGAUGAAGCAAGACAGUAUCUUUCAUUUCUGAUUUUCAUACGAUGAUUUGCAAUUUCCAUUGAUGUAGAUAAAGACCUCAUGAGUACAUUUUAGCUUUAUGUGUUAGCAAUGCAUGGAUACUACUAAUAUUGAAUGUUUCUUUGUAUGCAAUUGUAAGAGAUGUGUGUCUAUAUAUAUUUUUUUUUUAAUGUGAUUUUUUUGUAUCAUAUGGCUGUGUGAAUACAUAAGUUAAAUGGA
rnacentral:misc_RNA from 1 species